GAUGAACGCUGGCGGCGUGCCUAAUACAUGCAAGUCGAGCGAACGGACGAGAAGCUUGCUUCUCUGAUGUUAGCGGCGGACGGGUGAGUAACACGUGGAUAACCUACCUAUAAGACUGGGAUAACUUCGGGAAACCGGAGCUAAUACCGGAUAAUAUUUUGAACCGCAUGGUUCAAAAGUGAAAGACGGUCUUGCUGUCACUUAUAGAUGGAUCCGCGCUGCAUUAGCUAGUUGGUAAGGUAACGGCUUACCAAGGCAACGAUGCAUAGCCGACCUGAGAGGGUGAUCGGCUACACGGGAAGUGAGAAACGGCCCAGACUCCUACGGGAGGCAGCAGUAGGGAAUCGUCCGCAAAGGGCGAAAGCCUGACGGAGCAACGCCGCGUGAGUGAUGAAGGUCUUCGGAUCGUAAAACUCUGUUAUUAGGGAAGAACAUAUGUGUAAGUAACUGUGCACAUCUUGACGGUACCUAAUCAGAAAGCCACGGCUAACUACGUG
rnacentral:rRNA from 1 species